UCUCCUGACCACCUCAAAGGCAUAAGUCGAGCACCGCGUCCACAGACAUGCGCGCAACUAAUGACCUUUUUAGGUAUCACAGGAUUCAGUGCGGAGUGGUUGGAGGAUUAUGCAGUAAAAACGGCACCACUCGGGGAUCUUCUGAAGUCUUCUGAAGAUAGGACUUUGAGGGGAUCUUUGGAGUGGACCACGGAGGCACUGUUGGCUUUUGAUGUGCUCAAGCAGGAACUGCAAAAUGCCCCAGCGCUGAAAAUGCCAGAAUAUGAUAAACCUUUCUAUCUUUAUGUUUCAAACAGAUGUAACAUGUAUGCAGCGGCUGUAUUGACACAGGAUUCAUGUUCUGGUGGAAAGAAACAACCCAUCGCUUACUACAUGGGAUCAGGAUCA